rnacentral:lncRNA from 1 species
CCGGACGAAAGGGUAACCCGGAGGUGCUCUUUCCGCGCUAACCAGUCUGGGGAGAUUUCAGCAGGUCAUGCAGUCUUGACCGCAGCCCAGCCAGGGACCUGGCGUCACCAAGUCCUGGUCUUUGACAUUUGCUGCACCUUAGAGUCACCAGGGGCAGCUAUUACAAGUCUCAGUGCCUAGAGUACACCCCAAGUCGGUGAAAUCAGACACUGGGGAAAUGAGGCACAAGCCUUAGUAUUUAUAAAAACACCCCAGAAAAUUCCAAAGAGCAGCUAAGUUUGUGUGGAAGAAACAGUGACCCUGUCUUCUGGGUCUUAGACAGCCUCUGGAAUAUGAAGAAAGGUCUUAGAAGGAGAUGAAAAUGAGUAUUUUACCAAAAUGAAAUUGAAAGAAGAAACAACUAAAGGAAAAGAAAAAAAUAAAAGAAUGAGAGAAAGUAAAAAAUACAUACAUAGAAAAUAACGUAAAGUAACAGACAAGAUUUUGUGGGUGAAAAACUAGACAAGCAAUUCAGGUAGUGUAAUCCAAAUCUAGAAAAAUAUACAUUGAGAAUCUGAAAUGUAUAGAUUAAAGAAUAUUUCAAAAUGGCAAUUUACAGUAAAUUAUAGCCUUAGAGAGUAUGUUAAUCAAUGAAUGACACCAUUAUCAGUAUUUGUGCUCUUGUGUUCUGACCUGGCCUACACUGAGAAUGAAAGUUCCAAGUAUGUUAGAAUCUAAUCUUGGCUUUGCUGUUGGCAGAAAGUACCUGGAAGUACUAAAGGAAAGUGAGGACAAUGUUAUCAGUAGCUGGAGGAAGGAGGACCCUUGUUAUGUACUGGUUGAAAGUAAAGCAAAAUGGAGGCCAAGGCGGGUGGAUCACAAGGUCAGGAGAUCGAGACCAUCCUGGCUAACACGGUGAAACCCCGUCUCUACUAAAAAUACAAAAAAUUAGCCGAGCACGGUGGCAGGCGCCUGUAGUCCCAGCUACUCGGGAGGCUGAGGCAGGAGAAUGGCGUGAACCCGAGAGGUGGAGCUUACAGUGAGCCGAGAUCGCGCCACUGCACUCCAGCCUGGGUGACAGAGCGAGACACUGUCUCCAAAAAAAAAAAAAAAAAAGAAAAAAAAAGAAAGUAAAGCAAAAUGGUCAGCUGCCAUCACAUGAAAAAUAGAAAUUUUUACUUAAUGCAAUGGAUGAUCUAGCUAAGGAGAUUUCUAGACAGGGUGCUAAAAUUUUGUCCUCAGCCUCUCCAGGACAAGCAAUGAUAAAAUUAAGAAAUAACUUUAGGAGGCCAGGUGCAGUGGCUCAUGCCUGUAAUCCCAGCACUUUGGGAGGCCGAGGUAGGGGGAUCGCCUGAGGUUGGGAGUUCAAGACCAGCCUGACCAACAUGGAGAAAACUCGUCUCUACUAAAAGUACAAAAUUAGCCCGGCGUGGUGGCACAUGCCUUUAAUCCCAGCUACUUGGGAGGCUGAGGCAGGAGAAUCGCUUGAAUCCAGGUGGCAGAAUUUGCAAUGAGCUGAGAUCGUACCAUUGCACUCUGGCCGUGGGCAACGAGAGCGAAACUCCUUUUCAAAAAAAGAAGAAAGAAGAAGAAGAAGAAGAGGAAGAAGAGGAAGAGGAAGAAGAAGAAGAAAGAAAGAAGAAGAAGGAAGAAGAAGGAAGAAGGAG